AUCACAGUGGUCAACUUCUUGAAAACACUGUCUGAUUAUAUGUGCAAUACUAUAACCAUGAAACCUAUAAGUAUUUAAAGGUUGGAAAUGUUAUACAUUUUUUGAAACGUGCACUCUGAAAUAAAUAAUUCUAGGUAUUUCCAUGCCUAGGUGAAAAUUACUUUUCAACUUGUAGUUGCGCUAAUGCAUUGGAUUCUUUUAAAAUGUUGAAUAUAUUGAAAUCCUGCUGAAUUAUUUUUUACAAAGUAGUCUCCUUAUAUUUAGAGGUUUCCUUGUAUGACCUAUUUUAACUGAUGUUAUUUUUUAUCAUUGAACAUUUACUUUUUUAGUGCGUGCUGUGAAUCAAAUGUAUGGAAGGUAGAUAGAUUCAGGGCGCUUUACUGGACCCAUAUUAAGCCUGUCUAAGACAUCCUUAAGGUAAAUCUCGAGUGGUUAGUGGUCUAGGAAUGGGCCUAAUGUGGGUCAGGUAAGCUUUACAUCCAACUCCAUCCAGGGGAGCAGUAUAUACCUUCUCAUUUUCACACUUUACAUAUCUACCAAAGAUACGGUACCUCUCUGCAGCCACCCCGGUUUUGCAGAUGAGUGCUACAGUUUUGGAGAGAGUUAACUAGUGUAGAGCUGAACAACAGGACAGUGAUCACCACAAGCGUCUAUCUUGUCCUUAGACUGAACUUGUCUGUUGGCAUGGAAUCAGCAAGGUGAGAGCGUGAAUACCAUAGAAUCAAGAGCAUCUUUAUAGAUCGUUAUGGUGGACAUUGGGCCCAAGUCAUCAGAUCUGAUGUAGCCAACAUCUGGGAUAGUGGUUGUUUUGGGUUAGUAAUAAUCACAUGAUGCCUCUACUCCGACAAUAGGCUCAAAUCCUUAUGAUUUCCUUUAUCUGCCCAGUUUUUUUAUAAUUACUAACAAAAUGAGUAGUCAUUUUUCUUCCGACAUUGUUCAAUAAAGUCUGACCUAAACCAAAAAAGCAGCUCUUCUGUGUACGAAUGGUGUGUACUCAAAAAACAGGAUACCGUAGAUGUAUAAUAGUCAUGAACAAAAUAAUGUAAGUUUAUGCUAGUCAUUAACCGAAUAAUGUAGGUGUAUACUAGUCAUAAACAGAAUAGUGUAGGUGUAUAGUAGUCAUAAACAGAAUAGUGUAGGUGUAUAGUAGUCAUUAAUAGAAUAGUGUAGGUGUAUAGUACUCAUAAACAGAAUAGUGUAGGUGUAUAAUAGUCAUAAACAGAAUAGUGUAGGUGUAUAAUAGUCAAACAGAAUAGCGUAGGUGUAUACUAGUCAUAAACAGAAUAGUGUAGGUGUAUAAUAGUCAUAAACAGAAUAGUGUAGAUGUAUACUACUGAUAUCCUAAACAUAAUCAGUACACUCCUGAUUACACGCCAUACUUCCCCAGGCUGCUGAUUGGCCAGUUCAAAACUCCAAAGAAAAAUUAUUUAUUUAUUCCUCCAUUUAAAUCUUUGGGUAUAUACAAG
ensembl:lncRNA